GGGGGCGACCUUGGUUUCGACGGGGGUUGCGAAGCAGAUGCGGGCAUACCGGGGUCUCAGAUUCCCGUAAAACACUGAAUCUAAAUAGUCGCAAACGACGAAACUUACGCACUGGCCGCUUAAGGCCUGCCGUUGCAACAGUUGGCCGAUGGGCUGUGUAGGGUAACACCUACGGCAACGUCAAUUACAUUGGCUGGUUUCGUGCCGGGUUACUUGGUACGGAAUAAGAUUUAAGGUAACUGGUUUCCCGCGAGCCUGUCUGCCGGCGCAAGGGGAAUAAGAUUUUAAGUAGACACGACUAAGUAUGUAGAACGCUUUGUAGAGGACUUUCGGACGGGGGUUCGAUUCCCCCCGCCUCCACCA
rnacentral:tmRNA from 1 species